GGGCACUUGGCACAGUUGGUAGCGCGCACGCUUCGCAUCUUCGACUGCGUGAGGUCGUGGGUUCAAUUCCCACAGUGUCCA